rnacentral:rRNA from 1 species
CGUCAUAUAUCAUAACAAAACAAAACUUUCAACAACGGAUCUCUUGGCUCUCGCAUCGAUGAAGAACGCAGCGAAAUGCGAUAAGUAAUGUGAAUUGCAGAAUUCAGUGAAUCAUCGAAUCUUUGAACGCACCUUGCGCCCUCUGGUAUUCCGGAGGGCAUGCCUGUUUGAGUGUCAUGUAGACUCAAUCCCUCGGGUUUCCGAGGAGAUUGGACUUGGGUGUUGCCGCUCUGCCGGCUCACCUUAAAAGACUUAGCGGGAUAGCACCGUAGUCGGCGUAAUAAGUUUCGUCGGUGAAGGUUGUGAUGACUGCUUACAAUCGGCCUUGGACAAUUUUUGACUCUGACCUCAAAUCAGGUAGGACUACCCGCUGAACUUAAGCAUAUCAAUAAGCGGAGGAAAAGAAACUAACAAGGAUUCCCUUAGUAGCGGCGAGCGAAGCGGGAAGAGCUCAAAUUUG